GUGGCGCACGGGUGAGUAACGCGUGGGUAAUCUCCCUUCAAAUCGGGGAUAACGUUGCGAAAGCGACGCUAAUACCGGAUGACACCCACCGAUCUUCGGAUUGUUGGAUCAAAGGUGGCCUCUACAGGUAAGCUACUGUUUGGAGAUGAGCCCGCGUACCAUUAGCUUGUUGGUGGGGUAACGGCCUACCAAGGCAACGAUGGUUAGCUGGUCUGAGAGGAUGAUCAGCCACACUGGAACUGACACACGGUCCAGACUCCUACGGGAGGCAGCAGUGAGGAAUUUUGCGCAAUGGGCGAAAGCCUGAUGCAGCAACGCCGCGUGAGUGAUGAAGGCCUUCGGGUCGUAAAGCUCUGUCAAGUGGGAAGAACCUAUGCAGUGUUAAUAUCGCUGCGUACUGACGGUACCACUGAAGGAAGCACUGGCUAACUCCGUGCCAGCAGCCGCGGUAAUACGGGGGGUGCAAGCGUUAUUCGGAAUCAUUGGGCGUAAAGAGCACGUAGGCGGCUUGGUAAGUCAGGUGUGAAAGCCCGGGGCUUAACCCCGGAAGUGCAUUUGAUACUGCCAGGCUUGAGUAUGGGAGAGGGAAGUGGAAUUCCUGGUGUAGAGGUGAAAUUCGUAGAUAUCAGGAGGAACACCGGUGGCGAAGGCGACUUCCUGGACCAAUACUGACGCUGAGGUGCGAAGGCGUGGGUAGCAAACAGGAUUAGAUACCCUGUAGUCCACGCAGUAAACGUUGUUCACUAGGUGUAGCGGGUAUUGACCCCUGCUGUGCCGCAGUUAACGCAUUAAGUGAACCGCCUGGGGAGUACGGCCGCAAGGUUAAAACUCAAAGGAAUUGACGGGGGCCCGCACAAGCGGUGGAGCAUGUGGUUUAAUUCGACGCAACGCGAAGAACCUUACCUGGAUUUGACAUCCCGGGAAUCCUAUCGAAAGACUGGAGUGCCCUUCGGGGAGCCCGGAGACAGGUGCUGCAUGGCUGUCGUCAGCUCGCGUCGUGAGAUGUUGGGUUAAGUCCCGCAACGAGCGCAACCCUUGUCUUUAGUUACCAUCAUUUAGUUGGGGACUCUAAAGAUACUGCCCCGGUCAACGGGGAGGAAGGUGGGGAUGACGUCAAGUCCUCAUGGCCUUUAUGUCCAGGGCUACACACGUGCUACAAUGGGCGGUACAAAGGGUCGCGAACCCGCGAGGGUAAGCCAAUCCCAAAAAGCCGUCCCAAGUUCGGAUUGGAGUCUGCAACUCGACUCCAUGAAGCUGGAAUCGCUAGUAAUCGCGGAUCAGCAUGCCGCGGUGAAUACGUUCCCGGGCCUUGUAC
rnacentral:rRNA from 1 species